GUCGAGCGGCAGGCGCAGCAAUGCGCUGAGAGCGGCGGACUGGUGAGUAACGCGUGGGUAAUCUACCUUUGGCAUGGGGAUAGCCACUAGAAAUAGUGGGUAAUACCGAAUACGUUCCCUGGGGGGAUGGUUUCAGGGAAGAAAGGGUGCUACGGCACCGGCCAAAGAUGAGCUCGCGUCCCAUUAGCUAGUUGGCGAGGUAACGGCCCACCAAGGCGAUGAUGGGUAGCCGGCCUGAGAGGGUGUACGGCCACACUGGGACUGAGAUACGGCCCAGACUCCUACGGGAGGCAGCAGCUAAGAAUAUUCCGCAAUGGACGAAAGUCUGACGGAGCGACGCCGCGUGGAUGAUGAAGGCCGAAAGGUUGUAAAGUCCUUUUGCUGGGGAAGAAUAAGUGUGGGAGGGGAUGCCCGCAUGAUGACAUGAACCGGCGAAUAAGCCCCGGCCAACUACGUGCCAGCAGCCGCGGUAACACGUAGGGGGCGAGCGUUGUUCGGAAUUACUGGGCGUAAAGGGCAUGUAGGCGGUCUGGUAAGCCUGGCGUGAAAGGCCACAGCUCAACUGUGGGAUUGCGUUGGGAACUGCUGGGCUUGAGUUAUGGAGAGGGAGCUAGAAUUCCUGGUGUAGGGGUGAAAUCUGUAGAUAUCAGGAAGAAUACCGAUGGCGAAGGCAAGCUCCUGGCCGAUGACUGACGCUGAGGUGCGAAAGUGUGGGGAUCAAACAGGAUUAGAUACCCUGGUAGUCCACACUGUAAACGAUGUGCACUAGGUGCUGGGGCGGUAGCUUCAGUGCCGGAGCGAACGUGGUAAGUGCACCGCCUGGGGAGUAUGCUCGCAAGGGUGAAACUCAAAGGAAUUGACGGGGGCCCGCACAAGCGGUGGAGCAUGUGGUUUAAUUCGAUGGUACGCGAGGAACCUUACCUGGGUUUGACAUACAGGGGGAUGUGGCAGCGAUGUCACAGACUGGAAACAGUACCCUGUACAGGUGCUGCAUGGCUGUCGUCAGCUCGUGCCGUGAGGUGUUGGGUUAAGUCCCGCAACGAGCGCAACCCCUACUGCCAGUUACUAACAGGUAACGCUGAGGACUCUGGCGGAACUGCCGGUGACAAACCGGAGGAAGGUGGGGAUGACGUCAAGUCAUCAUGGCCCCUAUGUCCAGGGCUACACACGUGCUACAAUGGGCGAUACAGAGUGACGCGAAGCCGCGAGGUGGAGCAAAUCGCAGAAAAUCGCUCUCAGUUCGGAUUGGAGUCUGAAACCCGACUCCAUGAAGGUGGA
rnacentral:rRNA from 1 species